rnacentral:misc_RNA from 1 species
GAAAUGCGAUAAGUAAUGCGAAUUGCAGAAUUCAGUGAGUCAUCGAAUCUUUGAACGCACAUUGCGCCCUGUGGUAUUCCGCAGGGCAUGCCUGUUCGAGCGUCAUUUCAACCCUCAAGCUCUGCUUGGUGUUGGGCCCUGCCCGUCGCGGCCGGCCCUAAAGUCAGUGGCGGCGCCGCUCGGCUCCUAAGCGUAGUAAUGCUCUCGCUCCAGGGUCGUGCGGUGGCUAGCCAGAACCCCAAACUUCAAUGGUUGACCUCGGAUCAGGUAGGGAUACCCGCUGAACUUAA